UUUAAAUUUUAUUAAAUU
rnacentral:tRNA from 2 species